UGGAAGUGAAGAAACAAUUGGUCCGUGUUUCUGACAAUCUGUUGAUGAUAGAAACUCCAAUUUACUUCUGAUCCU
rfam:Setaria italica strain Yugu1 chromosome II, whole genome shotgun sequence.